rnacentral:rRNA from 1 species
ACGGAAGCAGCAGUGGGGAAUAUUGGGCAAUGGGCGAAAGCCUGACCCAGCAACGCCGCGUGAAGGAAGAAGGUCUUCGGAUUGUAAACUUCUUUUAUCAGGGACGAAGGAAGUGACGGUACCUGAUGAAUAAGCCACGGCUAACUACGUGCCAGCAGCCGCGGUAAUACGUAGGUGGCAAGCGUUAUCCGGAUUUACUGGGUGUAAAGGGCGCGUAGGCGGGGAUGCAAGUCAGAUGUGAAAUCCAUGGGCUUAACUCAUGAACUGCAUUUGAAACUGCAUCUCUUGAGUGUCGGAGAGGUAGAUGGAAUUCCUAGUGUAGCGGUGAAAUGCGUAGAUAUUAGGGGGAACACCAGUGGCGAAGGCGAUCUACUGGAUGAUAACUGACGCUGAGGCGCGAAAGCGUGGGGAGCAAACAGGAUUAGAUACCCUGGUA